GACCCGUCUUGAAGCACGGACCAAGGAGUCUAACACGUACGCAAGUCGCUCGGUCUUGAAUAGGCCAGAGAGGCGCAAUGAAAGUAAAGUUGAUUGAGUUAUGAUCUCUACCAGGUCACGUACUUGUAUGUGGCGGUAGAGCGCAAUAACAGCCCGCUAGUUUCGCUUUAUGACGAUUUAGCGGAGUUGUAGCGUAUGCGUUGGUACCCGAAAGAUGGUGAACUAUGCCUGGGCAAGACGAAGCCAGAGGAAACUCUGGUGGAGGUCUGUAGCGAUUCUGACGUGCAAAUCGAUCGUCAGACCUGGGUAUAGGGGCGAAAGACUAAUCGAACCAUCUAGUAGCUGGUUCCCUCUGAAGUUUCCCUCAGGAUAGCAGGCGCUCCGGAUAGAAUUCAGUCUCAUCCGGUAAAGCGAAUGAUUAGAGGCAUUGGGGUCGAAACGACCUCAACCUAUUCUCAAACUUUAAAUGGGUGAGAAGUUUGACUUGUUUAACUACUUAUGUUAAAGCCAUGCUUCGGAUGUAUGAGUGCCUAGUGGGCCAUUUUUGGUAAGCAGAACUGGCGCUGUGGG
rnacentral:rRNA from 1 species